GACAAGCUUUCUCCACGGACUCCGCAAAACAUGUCGUAUUGCUUCUGCACCAUAUCUCUCUUGCUUUCGAUCAGUUCUUCAUUUCCCUCAUAGUACUCGAUCAAUGCAUUCCAGAGUGCAUUUGCAGUUCGGUGUUCUUCAAACAUGUUGCAAUCGUUUGUUGAUAAAGCCAUGGUUAGAGCGGCGUGUGCACGACGAUCACGUUGAAUGAGGGCCUUGUCUUCGUCAGUGAAGGUAGUAGCAUCGUUGUUAGUAACUACCGCAUCUCCUCUAACUACCGUUGGAACUCGGCGAAUUUGUUGAUUAUGCGAUAAAACACUUAGCGAUUUGAAUUAUUUCGCUAUAUUCAACGCUGAGAUCGCUAUAUUCAAAAGAUAAGUUCGCUGUAUUCAAAU
rnacentral:lncRNA from 1 species